AUUGAACGCUGGCGGCAGGCCUAACACAUGCAAGUCGAGCGGAGCGGCGGACGGGUGAGUAAUGCCUAGGAAUCUGCCUGGUAGUGGGGGAUAACGUCCGGAAACGGGCGCUAAUACCGCAUACUAUCAGAUGAGCCUAGGUCGGAUUAGCUAGUUGGUGGGGUAAAGGCCUACCAAGGCGACGAUCCGUAACUGGUCUGAGAGGAUGAUCAGUCACACUGGAACUGAGACACGGUCCAGACUCCUACGGGAGGCAGCAGUGGGGAAUAUUGGACAAUGGGCGAAAGCCUGAUCCAGCCAUGCCGCGUGUGUGAAGAAGGUUUUCGGAUCGUAAAACUCUGUUGUUAGGGAGGCGGUAUCUACACAAAAAGCACCGGCUAACUACGUGCCAGCAGCCGCGGUAAUUC
rnacentral:rRNA from 1 species